rnacentral:lncRNA from 11 species
UCUUACAAAUUAUGUGUUCUUCAGUGAGGCUCAAAUGCAGUGGUAUUGUUUUUCUUGAUUUUCAGAAAGUGCACCUCCACUUCCAGAAUCAGAAAGCUGGACCAUGGUAACACCGGUCCCACAUCUCAGUUGUCACUGUGGGCCUCAAAGGAGUUACACUCCAAUUAUUACCAAGGAAGAUCUAGACAUCAUGGAGAGGAAAAAAAUUGACCUUUAUUUCAAAAUACAUACUUCAGAAUUAAAAAGACAGAAGAAUCUACAGUCGAUGAUGAAUAAGUUUUUGUCAGAGUCUGAAAUAGCUUUGAAAGAACGGCUUCCUCCUAGACCCAAAUCAGAACCCUCGAUGCAAAGAGUCAGCACCAGAAAAAAAGUCUCCCAAGGCUCUGACAGAUUUGAAAGCCUGUCAACACCUCGUAAAAGGUUACCUUCCCAGUCUCCUUGUCACGCUGCAGCUUGUGAUGCGUAUGAACAGGGUAUAGCUUUGGAAAAAGGCCUGGGGAAACCUAGAGUGACUGUCUCUAAAUGGACCAGGAAGCUUCAAAGCAAGAAAACAGCAUACAAUGAUCCAUUGCCUCUUUCUGUCUGUUUUUGUUGAUCAAUGAGAUAUAUUUGUCUUGCCGGCCAACAAAGAGGAGUGGUCAGCUCUUUUCAGAUGUGCAUCUUCUGCUCUUGUGUUUCAGCUUGUUCAUUUACAAAAAAAGAUGUGUUGACAACCAACAUCUGAGUAAUUAGAAGCAUUGCUGUUUCAAGAGGAGUCAAAUGUGCCUCUUUUGUUAGGAACACUGGGGCAUGAAAGCAUAAGUCUGUUAUAAAGAGGACAAAAGAGUAGCCAUGGGAUAUGGCUCAAAGGAAAGCCUUUCUCAUUCUGCUGUCACUAGAUUGCUGGCUAUUUUUCUGGGCUCUUCAGGAUCAAAUCAGAAUUUUCAUUGCAUAGUACAGUCUUUAACCCAUUUAAAAUACUAUAUUAUGCAGAUGCAUGAAUGCUUAUUUGCUUCUGAAGUGGCAACAUAGUUCAAUAGAGAGGUUAAGAGUUUUUUUUAAAAAACAUAGUGUUAUAUAUUUUAUACAGUUUGUUAGAAGUGUUAAUAUGUGUAUUUCUUGUUUCUUUGAAUUAUUUUUAAAUGCAAUGUUAAUAAGUUUUAUUUUUCCAUGUCUACCCCUUCAAAAAUGCAUGUGAAAUGUAGAAGUAAAAUAAAAUGUUUUCUCAAAU